GACGAACGCUGGCGGCGUGCUUAACACAUGCAAGUCGAACGAUGAAGCCCAGCUUGCUGGGUGGAAGAGUGGCGAACGGGUGAGUAACACGUGAGUAACCUGCCCUGAACUCUGGGAUAAGCACUGGAAACGGUGUCUAAUACUGGAUACGACCUAUCACCGCAUGGUGUGUGGGUGGAAAGAUUUAUCGGUUCUGGAUGGACUCGCGGCCUAUCAGCUAGAUGGUGAGGUAAUGGCUCACCAUGGCGACGACGGGUAGCCGGCCUGAGAGGGUGACCGGCCACACUGGGACUGAGACACGGCCCAGACUCCUACGGGAGGCAGCAGUGGGGAAUAUUGCACAAUGGGCGCAAGCCUGAUGCAGCAACGCCGCGUGAGGGAUGACGGCCUUCGGGUUGUAAACCUCUUUUAGUAGGGAAGAAGCGAAAGUGACGGUACCUGCAGAAAAAGCACCGGCUAACUACGUGC
rnacentral:rRNA from 1 species